UCCAUGAUGAUGGGCGUCAAGGCUGAACCAGAACCUGAACCUCGGUUUGGAUAUGCAGGAAAACGGUGAAGUGAAACAUGUUCGACUACCAGUACUGCAUUGUUUAAGGACCGAACUCAAAAUAAAUGAU